rnacentral:tmRNA from 1 species
GGGGCUGAUUCUGGAUUCGACGAGAUUAGCGAACCCCAAGGUGCAUGCCGAGGCGCGGUGGCCUCGUAAAAAACCGCAAAAAAAUAGUUGCAAACGACGCAAUACACGAACCUGCUGCUAUGGCAGCUUGAUCAGCUUAAAAAACUGAAGGUUUCCUCUCUCCCUAGCCUCCGCUCUUAGGACGGGGAUCAAGAGAGGUCAAAUUUAAAAGAGAUCGCGUGGAUGCCUUGCUUGGGGUUGAAGCGUUAAACUUAAUCAAGCUAGUUUGUUAGUGGCGUGUCCAUCCGCAGCUAACCGGUGAAUGUAAUGACUGGACUAAGCAUGUAGUGCCGACGGCGUAGUAAUUUCGGACGGGGGUUCAAAUCCCCCCAGCUCCACCA